UACGGAGGAUGCGAGCGUUAUCCGGAUUUAUUGGGUUUAAAGGGUGCGUAGGCGGAAUAAUAAGUCAGUGGUGAAACCCUGCAGCUUAACUGUAGACUUGCCAUUGAUACUGUUUUUCUUGAGUAUGGUCAAGGCAGGCGGAAUGUGUAAUGUAGCGGUGAAAUGCUUAGAUAUUACACAGAACACCGAUAGCGAAGGCAGCUUGCUGGGCCGUUACUGACGCUGAUGCACGAAAGCGUGGGGAUCGAACAGGAUUAGAAACCCUAGUAGUCC
rnacentral:rRNA from 1 species